rnacentral:rRNA from 1 species
UACGUAGGUGGCAAGCGUUAUCCGGAUUUACUGGGUGUAAAGGGAGCGUAGACGGCAUGGCAAGUCAGAUGUGAAAGCCCGGGGCUCAACCCCGGGACUGCAUUUGAAACUGUCAGGCUGGAGUGCAGGAGAGGUAAGUGGAAUUCCUAGUGUAGCGGUGAAAUGCGUAGAUAUUAGGAGGAACACCAGUGGCGAAGGCGGCUUACUGGACUGUAACUGACACUGAGGCACGAAAGCGUGGGGAGCAAACAGG